AUUUAUUAAGUUAUUAUAUAUAUAUAUAUAUAUAUAUAUUCGUUUAAUGAGAAAAAGGAAGAAAAGAAUAGAAAUAGAAACAGAAAGCCAAACGAAACAGAGAGCAGGGGAAGGAAAGAAAGAAAAAGAGAAAAGAAAGAACAAAAGGGAAAAUUCAAGGUUUGAAGCUUUGAAGUUUAAUUGCUAAUGUUGUCUCGGGAAAUCUCGGCUAAGCAAGAAAAAAUGGCAAAGACAACGGGUGUUAGCUCGAGAAAAUACAGUUUGUAUUUCUAUAAUCCGAACUUAGUCAUUAUUUGUUAUAUUUAUAUACAUAUGGCAAUUGUUAGUAUUAGAAUUAUGAUGUUUUACAAUUGGAAUGGACUGAUUUUGGUAUGCGAUGAAUUUAUUGAACUUAUAUUGAUUGAAAUUA